GUCCAUCAACAACUAAAAGUAAAUAUUAAAAAAAAAUCCCAGAGAAGAGAUCGCAAAACUCCUCUUUGGAUCCUGUCUGGAGUUACAGCU
rnacentral:snoRNA from 1 species